rnacentral:rRNA from 1 species
AGCAGCCGCGGUAAUUCCAGCUCCAAUAGCGUAUAUUAAAGUUGUUGCAGUUAAAAAGCUCGUAGUUGAAUUUCGGGGUCAGUAGGUUGGUCGUGCCACCGGUACGUACUGGUCUCACUGAUUCCUCCUUCCUGAUGAGCUGUAAUGCCAUUAAUUUGGUGUUGCAGGGAAUCUGGACUGUUACUUUGAAAAAAUUAGAGUGUUUAAAGCAGGCUAACGCUUGAAUACAUUAGCAUGGAAUAAUGAAAUAGGACGUUCGAUCCUAUUUUGUUGGUUUCUAGGAUUGACGUAAUGAUUAAUAGGGAUAGUUGGGGGCAUUAGUAUUCAAAUUGUCAGAGGUGAAAUUCUUGGAUUUAUUGAAGACUAACUACUGCGAAAGCAUUUGCCAAGGAUGUUUUCAUUAAUCAAGAACGAAAGUUAGGGGAUCGAAGACGAUCAGAUACCGUCGUAGUCUUAACCAUAAACGAUGCCGACUAGGGAUCGGAUGAUGU